rnacentral:rRNA from 1 species
ACGGGAGGCAGCAGUGGGGAAUAUUGGGCAAUGGGCGAAAGCCUGACCCAGCAACGCCGCGUGAAGGAAGAAGGUCUUCGGAUUGUAAACUUCUUUUAUGAGGGACGAAGGACGUGACGGUACCUCAUGAAUAAGCCACGGCUAACUACGUGCCAGCAGCCGCGGUAAUACGUAGGUGGCGAGCGUUAUCCGGAUUUACUGGGUGUAAAGGGCGCGUAGGCGGGGAUGCAAGUCAGGUGUGAAAACUAUGGGCUUAACCCAUAAACUGCAUUUGAAACUGUAUCUCUUGAGUGCUGGAGAGGUAGAUGGAAUUCCUUGUGUAGCGGUGAAAUGCGUAGAUAUAAGGAAGAACACCAGUGGCGAAGGCGGCUUGCUGGACGACAACUGACGCUGAGGCGCGAAAGCGUGGGGAGCAAACAGGAUUAGAUACCCUGGUA